AUUGAACGCUGGCGGCAGGCCUAACACAUGCAAGUCGAGCGAGCGGAGGAAGGGUGAGCAACGUUUGGGAAACAGCCUGAUGGAGGGGGGUAACUCCUGGAAACGGUAGCUAAUACCCCAUACCAUCAGAUGUGUCCAGAUGGGAUUAGCUAGUAGGUGGGGUAACGGCUCACCUAGGCGACGAUCCCUAGCUGGUCUGAGAGGAUGACCAGCCACACUGGAACUGAGACACGGUCCAGAAUCCUACGUGAGGCAGCAGUGGGGAAUAUUGCACAAUGGUCGCAAGCCUGAUGCAGCCAUGCCGCGUGUGUGAAGAAGGCCUUCGGGUUGUAAAGCACUUUCAGCGGGGAGGCGUUACCCGCAGAAGAAGCACCGGCUAACUCCGUGCCAGCAGCCGCGGUAAUUC
rnacentral:rRNA from 1 species